rnacentral:rRNA from 1 species
AGAGUUUGAUCCUGGCUCAGGACGAACGCUGGCGGCACGCUUAACACAUGCAAGUCGAACGAGAGAAGAGGAGCUUGCUUUUCUGAUCUAGUGGCGGACGGGUGAGUAACACGUGAGCAAUCUGCCUUUCAGAGGGGGAUACCGAUUGGAAACGAUCGUUAAUACCGCAUAACAUAAUUGAACCGCAUGAUUUGAUUAUCAAAGAUUUAUCGCUGAAAGAUGAGCUCGCGUCUGAUUAGCUAGUUGGUAAGGUAACGGCUUACCAAGGCGACGAUCAGUAGCCGGACUGAGAGGUUGAUCGGCCACAUUGGGACUGAGACACGGCCCAGACUCCUACGGGAGGCAGCAGUGGGGAAUAUUGCACAAUGGAGGAAACUCUGAUGCAGCGAUGCCGCGUGAGGGAAGAAGGUUUUAGGAUUGUAAACCUCUGUCUUCAGGGACGAAAAAAGACGGUACCUGAGGAGGAAGCUCCGGCUAACUACGUGCCAGCAGCCGCGGUAAUACGUAGGGAGCGAGCGUUGUCCGGAAUUACUGGGUGUAAAGGGAGCGUAGGCGGGAUCGCAAGUCAGAUGUGAAAACUAUGGGCUUAACCCAUAAACUGCAUUUGAAACUGUGGUUCUUGAGUGAAGUAGAGGUAAGCGGAAUUCCUAGUGUAGCGGUGAAAUGCGUAGAUAUUAGGAGGAACAUCAGUGGCGAAGGCGGCUUACUGGGCUUUAACUGACGCUGAGGCUCGAAAGCGUGGGGAGCAAACAGGAUUAGAUACCCUGGUAGUCCACGCCGUAAACGAUGAUUACUAGGUGUGGGGGGACUGACCCCUUCCGUGCCGCAGCAAACGCAAUAAGUAAUCCACCUGGGGAGUGCGACCGCAAGGUUGAAACUCAAAGGAAUUGACGGGGGCCCGCACAAGCAGUGGAGUAUGUGGAUUAAUUCGAAGCAACGCGAAGAACCUUACCAGGUCUUGACAUCGUAUGCAUAGCUCAGAGAUGAGUGAAAUCUCUUCGGAGACAUAUAGACAGGUGGUGCAUGGUUGUCGUCAGCUCGUGUCGUGAGAUGUUGGGUUAAGUCCCGCAACGAGCGCAACCCUUACUGUUAGUUGCUACGCAAGAGCACUCUAGCAGGACUGCCGUUGACAAAACGGAGGAAGGUGGGGAUGACGUCAAAUCAUCAUGCCCCUUAUGACCUGGGCCUCACACGUACUACAAUGGCUGUCAACAGAGGGAAGCAAAGCCGCGAGGUGGAGCGAACCCCUAAAAGCAGUCUUAGUUCGGAUUGUAGGCUGCAACCCGCCUACAUGAAGUCGGAAUUGCUAGUAAUCGCAGAUCAGCAUGCUGCGGUGAAUACGUUCCCGGGCCUUGUACACACCGCCCGUCACGCCAUGGGAGUCGGUAACACCCGAAGCCUGUAGUCCAACCGCAAGGAGGACGCAGUCGAAGGUGGGAUUGAUGACUGGGGUGAAGUCGUAACAAGGUA